rnacentral:rRNA from 1 species
GCCCUGGAAACAGGGUUUAUCCGAUUCGUCGGAACAGAGUGACAGGUGCUGCAUGGCUGUCGUCAGCUCGUGUCGUGAGAUGUUGGGUUAAGUCCCGCAACGAGCGCAACCCUUGUCUCUAGUUGCCAGUAUUAAGUUAGGGACUCUAGAGAGACUGCCUCGGUUAACGGGGAGGAAGGUGGGAUGACGUCAAGUCCUCAUGGCCUUUAUACCCAGGGCUACACACGUGCUACAAUGGGCUGCACAAAGGGUCGCUAGCUCGCGAGAGUGCGCUAAUCCCAAAAAGCAGUUCUCAGUUCGGAUUGGAGUCUGCAACUCGACUCCAUGAAGUUGGAAUCGCUAGUAAUCGUGGAUCAGCACGCCACCGGUGAACUACGCUCCCGGGCCUU